rnacentral:rRNA from 1 species
UACGUAGGUGGCAAGCGUUUUCCGGAUUUAUUGGGUUUAAAGGGUGCGUAGGCGGUGAUUUAAGUCAGUGGUGAAAUACGGCAGCUUAACUGUCGAGGUGCCAUUGAUACUGGGUCACUUGAGUACUGAUGAGGUAGGCGGAAUGGACGGUGUAGCGGUGAAAUGCUUAGAGAUCGUCCAGAACACCGAUAGCGAAGGCAGCUUACUAAGGAGUAACUGACGCUGAGGCACGAAAGUGUGGGGAUCAAACAGG